rnacentral:lncRNA from 1 species
ACUGUUAUUUGGUCAGAAAAUUUAUCUACAAAGUCUAUUGACCUUUAUUUUGAAAUAAUUAAUCCAUGACUAGUUUGAUGUCCUAAAAAUUGGAUAUUGGUUUGGAAUAGAGACAUCUUGGUUUUGGAUGACACCAAUCCAUUUCUUUGAAUAACACUUAAGAAGGCUUGGAGAUGUUUAAAAUAUUAUUCAAUAAGGGGAGAG